rnacentral:misc_RNA from 1 species
GAUGAAGAACGUAGUGAAAUGCGAUACUUGGUGUGAAUUGCAGAAUCCCGUGAACCAUCGAGUCUUUGAACGCAAGUUGCGCCCGAAGCCAUUAGGCCGAGGGCACGCCUGCCUGGGCGUCACACGUCGUUGCCCCCCCAUCUACUCCUUCGGGAUUGCGGGGGGCGGAUGAUGGCCUCCCGUGCGCCUCGUCGCGCGGUUGGCAUAAAUGCCAAGUCCUCGGCGACGCACGCCACGACAAUCGGUGGUUGCGAAACCUCGGUUGCCCGUCGUGUGCGGUCGUCGCGCAUCGAGGGCUCGAAAAAAUUGUCGGGCUCCGGCUCGGCUUUCAACGCGACCCCAGGUCAGGCGGGGCUACCCGCUGAAUUUAAGCAUAUCAAUAAGCGGAGGA